rnacentral:rRNA from 1 species
UACAGAGGGUGCAAGCGUUGUUCGGAAUUACUGGGCGUAAAGCGCGUGUAGGCUGCGAUGUAAGUCAGGUGUGAAAGCCCUCAGCUUAACUGAGGAAGUGCACUUGAUACUGUGUCGCUUGAGUGUCGGAGGGGGGUGGCGGAAUUCCCGGUGUAGAGGUGAAAUUCGUAGAUAUCGGGAGGAACACCUGUGGCGAAGGCGGCCACCUGGACGACAACUGACGCUGAGACGCGAAAGCCAGGGGGAGCGAACGGG